ensembl:lncRNA
GCCAUUUUGAAGUCAAUCGAUAAGGAAUAUUCACAAGUGAACUGAAUUUAUAAUGGAUAAUACAUGAAGCACAUCUGCUGGUACUUUUAAAUGACACAGCAACAGUCCGUGGGUAUUUACUGAUGUAUUGUGUUUUGGACUAAAUGUUUUUAUUUGAUUGGAUCAUCUGGACCUUUGCUAGUGUAACGAGACUGUUGUUGUCGGGAUGUUAUGGAUCAGUGGACUACUAUGAGGCUCCAUAGGCCUUCAGUAUCUGAAGCCAUAAAGUUGGUGGACUGCUUGAGCAUGCUGCGUCUCUAACAGCCAGUGAUUCCUCUUCAAUGACACUUUAAAAUGUUCUGAGACCACACUAUGCGGUCUCACACAGAGGCCUUCUCUGAAAAGGUUACUCGACUAGGUGGCACCUCAUAACUGGAACAUCUGCCACUCAGUCCUGCAAAGCUAUAAAGGAAGUGUUUGACAUGAUUUUUGUCCCUGGAGAUGGUGUCUGCAGGUGAGCUCCAGGUAGAACCCUGUAACCUGGUUGGGUAACCUGGUCAAAUGUCAGUUCUCUGGUGGAGAAAGAGGCUGAGUUAGUGUAUGAGAUGGACUACAUUGCAAAAAUAAAUAAAUAAAUAAAUUGUAUUAUUAAUUAAGUAAUUUAAAAAUGUACUAUUGUUAAAAACGUACUAUUUACUUACUAUUUAUAUUACUUAUUUUUGUUCUUCAAAAAUAACUCAUUACAAAUCUCAGAAGUUUUUAAAGAAUUUUUUUAAAUCCAGCUAAUGACUAUGCUAUAUCAAUCACAUGAGCUCAAUAUCCAAUCAUUAAAGUUUAGCGUCCUAUCAAGUUCAUCAAUGUAUAAAUAAAACUAUAUAUAUAAGUAAUAAAAGCUACUUUUAUCAUGAGAACAUGAAACUAAUUCACACGCUAAUUCAUCAAAAUGUUGACUUUUUUUUAACCUGCCCUUUACAUAAGUUAGGGAAAUGCAGUAUGUGUUAAUUCAAUUCAAUUCAAAUUAAUUUUCAUUUGUAUAGCACUUUUUACAACGGUCAUUGUCUCAAAGCAGCUUUACAGAAAUAUAUAAACACAGGAUACUGAUUUUAGUGUGUGGAUUAAUCCCAAUUGAGCAAGCCGGUGGCGAUGGUGGCAAGGAAAAACUCCCUAAGAUGUUAAGAGGAAAAAACCUUGAGAGGAACCAGACUCAGAAGGGAACCUAUCCUCAUGUUGUAUAUAAAAUAUACAUGAAAUAAACAC